rnacentral:rRNA from 1 species
AACGAACGCUGGCGGCAGGCUUAACACAUGCAAGUCGAGCGCCCCGCAAGGGGAGCGGCAGACGGGUGAGUAACGCGUGGGGAUCUACCCAUCUCUACGGAAUAACUCAGGGAAACUUGUGCUAAUACCGUAUACGCCCUUUUGGGGAAAGAUUUAUCGGAGAUGGAUGAGCCCGCGUUGGAUUAGCUAGUUGGUGGGGUAAAGGCCUACCAAGGCGACGAUCCAUAGCUGGUCUGAGAGGAUGAUCAGCCACAUUGGGACUGAGACACGGCCCAAACUCCUACGGGAGGCAGCAGUGGGGAAUAUUGGACAAUGGGCGCAAGCCUGAUCCAGCCAUGCCGCGUGAGUGAUGAAGGCCCUAGGGUUGUAAAGCUCUUUCACCGGAGAAGAUAAUGACGGUAUCCGGAGGAGAAGCCCCGGCUAACUUCGUGCCAGCCGCCGCAGUAA